AUGAGGUGGCACGAGGUUCUGGUUAUUGGCUACGCGUGCGGUGGUGAAGAUCCUCUGUGCUCGGACCGCAGGCUGACAUGGAAUUCUCACACCUCUGCGUGCCCCUCCACCCCGAGCAUCAUUACUCAGCCUGCACCAAGUGGAUCUAGGGCCUGGCGCCCGUCAGCAGAGGAGCAAACCAGUGCUCGGAGAAGUCGAGUGACAUGUGCCAAAUCACACAGCAGACGUAAGGCAUCAGGGGUGAGUGGAGGCCCAACAUCUCUGCUGACCAACAGGGUGGACUGUCCCAUGAGGAGAAUGAGCCUGAAUGACGAGGGGCUGCGGUCAGGUCCCCGGGCUGAACGUCCCGGCCCGCGUGGCACCCCCUCACCUCACAGCCGCCUUCCUGCCACGUGCCUGGGUCCACCCGCAAAGCAGGGGGUGUCCAAAAGGCCCCUCAUCUGCUUACCUGCUCACAUGCUCUGCCCUCCUCUGGGAAUCCUGCCCUGUCCUUGGACGCCUUCCCCAGUGCCGCAUCCUUCAAGAAGCUCUCUUCAGUCCAGUCAACCCCGACGGACUCCUUCCAGACCCUGCCCAUCCUCCUCCCAGCCUUCUCGCACCUUCCCCAGGGCCUCUCCCUGGGCUCCUGCGGUCCCUCCCAGCGGGCUCCUCCCUCUGACUCCUGCCCCAUCUCUUCCCAUGGUGACCUGCCUAUGUCACCUCCUCAGAGAAGCCCUCUCUGAUACACCAACAUGGGAAACCUCCUGUUAG
rnacentral:lncRNA from 1 species